rnacentral:lncRNA from 1 species
AACCCUAGAAGAACCCCAUGGCUGCCAUUCUUCUUCCUAAAAGAAACAAAACACAACCCUAGAGAAGCCAUUAUCCAUCGCCGCCUGCCAGCUUUCCACCAGGCGGCGCCUUCAAGCACCACGGAUUUCGAAACUCCAUCUCCACGCAUCAUCAUGAAGAUAGUAGUCGAACCGCCAAUCAUCUUCUCCAUAACGCACAGUUGUCGCUGCGAAAUAACCAUCCUCCAUAGCCGCUAAACUUCAAGAACAAACCCCUGAACCCCAUGAACCCCACCAGCCACCUCCCCUCCUAUCGGCGCUGCACAUAGAACAACAGCUCGGAGCGGCAAACAUCCCAUCAAACAAACGACCCUUUCUUCUUCAUCUUCAACCAGCCAUUAAUACCACGUACUAAGAAGCUCCAAAACCUUAUCAAAUACACUCCAAUACAGUUGCAAAAAUCUACCCGAAACAACACCUGAAUACACAAGUUUGUUCGAGCUCGAGUUCAUCUCUGGUGGUCGGUUCUGGUCGAGAGUCGUCUAUGUAAUUUCAACUCAGUUUAUUUACACCAAAGGUUACAUUCCGUCCAUUCCUUCCUUAUUUUAUCUACAAAGUUCUCUUUUCUAAUUGACAAGAUUCUUAGUGUUGUUAGUUGCAUACUGAUUCACUUAAUAUGUUAGUUGCAUACUGAUUCGCUUGAUACACUGUUUCGCAUACUGGUUUGCCCUAUGUGUUGCUUGGGUGCUAAUGUUAUAGUGGUUAUUCCAAUUCUCUUUUGCAAUAUUUCGUUAGAUAGUGCUGUUUGGAUUUUAUUUGUUAAUUUGGAGUUUCUAAUCUAAAAGAACAAAAACACAUUUUGAACUUGUUAAGGAAAACUUUUCAUGGAAUGGAAUUGAAAAGGUUAUAACAAUUUAAGCGUUGGAUUAUUUUUUUAGUUCUUUAUUUCGCUAUAGCCAUUUGAUCGCUAGGAGCAUGCUAGGUUGUCGACACUUAGGUAGGAAAUCUUUAGGUUUCUGGAUUAGUUUGAGGCAAGAGAUCGUUCCCUUAGUUAAAUUUAUGCGGAAAAUGCCCCGAUGGAUUCGUAUAUAUUUUAUUUCAGGGGUACGCCUCGAAGUGAAUAUAAUUGGAGGUCGUGGCUAACAUCGUAGAAGAAGUAGCUUAGGAUAAUAUAGAAAUUAAAUUUUCUUUCUUUUAAUUUUCUUUAAUUUAGGUGGGGAUGACCUCGAGCCUCUUUUUGUUUGUUUUUCUUUUCUGUGUUAUUACCUCAAUUGAAUAAUUUAAAAGCCAACUAGAUCAAGUAUGUAACUAUACUAGUUACGGCCUUGGGGAGUGUCUAACACCCUGUCCCCGAGUCAAAUGAACCCAUUACCCAAAUCUCUGGUGUUGACUUAGUUUUAGAGUUCAAAGUGUUUUGAAAGGAAAAUUAUUAUUUUUAGAAAAAGCGGUGACCUGACACACCGAAAUCAAAUGUUAGGUGGCGACUUUGAGUUAUUUCCUUUUGAAAAUAAUUUUGUACUUUUCAACUGAAAACCCUUUUCAAGCUUUAUUAAAUCUUUUUAUUAAUUUAAGAGGGUUAAGUGAGGUUUUGUAAAAAAAGGGUGUGACAAGCCCCUCAACAAAGUCUAAGCUGAUAUCUUGCCAUACCUUUUCAGGAAUGGGUAGGGGUUGUAAUAGGCCUGGGGACUUCACAUUCCCACCCUUACACAUUUGGCAAGUAUCACAGCUCCUAAUGUGUUCAUAAAAUCCUAUUUUCAUCUUCUUCCAGUAAUAAACUUGACCAACACUAUGCAAAGUGGCAGCCAUUCCUGAGUGACCUCCAACAGCACUGUCAUGAAAGAAAUACAAAAUAUCAUCUCUGAAAAGCUUGUCAGGGCCAACCAUUAUUUUACCUUUCAUGUAAAUGAUGUCAUCCUUUAGCCAGUAUAUAGGAUUGGCUAAUGCAUUUUGACUAAGCUAAGAUGCCAACUGUUGUAGAUGUUGAUCUCCCGAGUAAGAGGAUAUCACUCUUGCAAGGAAGUCUGAAGACACAGUAGAAAUAGUUAAGAGAUGAAUGUUGUUCAUAGGAAACCUUAACAAAGCAUUUGUUGUUACAUUCUCCUUCCCUUUCUUGUACAUGAUGUUGUAGUCAUAACCCAUAAGUUUAUUAACCUAUUUCUGCUGGCUAGGAGUAGAUACCCUCUUUUCUAGAAGAUACUUGAGGCUCUAGUGGUCUUUCUUAAUAAGAAAAUGCCUGCCAAUGAGAUAUGGUCUCCAUUUAUCAUCACAAUGGCCAUCAUCUCCUUUUCAUACACUGAGCGGUGUUGAUGCUUAGAAUGCAAAGCCUUGUUAAAAUAAGCUAGAGGAUGACCCCCUUGCAUCAAUACAUCCCUUAUUCCAUGCCCACAUGCAUCAAUUUCAAUAAUGAACUCUUAGG